CCCUCCGCCCUCCGUCGAAUCGUCAACCGCGGCCCUCGCACAGUCAGACCCCCAUCCCGCGCCGCCCUUCGCACUCUGCCCUCCACCAAGUCGUCGUCGCACAGGCCUUCCCGCCGCCGAUUCGCUCCGCCGCCAGGACCCAGCGCAAACUGCAGUCACGUCCUUCCCCCUCCCCGUAUUCACGCGCUCCCUCCCUAAUCCCUAACCGCGCUGUCUUCCUCCGUCAAUCCCCGUCGAAUCCACCGCCUCAAGCGUCGUGGCUCGUCGCCGUUGCAGUCGUCAUCGAGAACGCUGCCGAUCCCCAGUCGAAGCCGCCCUCACGUAGUCCUCAACCAGUAGCCGCCGCCGCCGCCUAGCCCUGUGCCCUCGCCAGAUCGACGCCGUGACGCUCUGCCUCCUUGCCCUGGUCGCCUCAUAGCAUCUCGCGCCAAAUCGCGUGGGUCACACCUCUGUCCACGGCCACCGCGGACCGCGCCCCUCCAACCGGACCAGCAGCAUCGCCACUGCCGACGGGAGCAGCAUCCCCGUCCAAAUCGGCGGCAGACAACCAGGUGGGCUUCCAGCCUUCCACACGAACCAUGGCGAGGUGCUGCUCUGUUGCUGGGACAUGGUUGAAAGGUGAAAUUAAACAAACAUUGUCUAUUCAUCACAUCAUAUGUGUCUAGCUAACUGCUAAGGUACAUAUAGUCGCUACUCUUGCUGAUAUGCGCAUGUUCACUGGCACGCCAGUCUAUUCGGUUUGCCGCCGGCUGCGAUGAACAAGAGCUGGAUUAAUCUUGCAAAAAAGUUCUUUUUUUCAACUGUAUAUCUGUUCAGAUUUUUCCGAAUUGCAUUAAUAUACUCCCUAUGAAUCUUUAUAUUAAACGCUGCAAUCCUUGUUAUAAAUCUACAAUUUUUCCUAAUUGCAGGAUGUGCUACCAUGAUCAUUCGUAUGGCAUGUCACUGACUCACUGUCACUUAACCUGUUGAUAACUGUACAUGCUAUUUUGGUAGCUCAAGUUAUGGUGGAAUAUUUAUAAUCAUUUUAUAAACUCUGAUGGUAAAUUGGUACGACUUCACUCCAUAAGUUUUGUUUCUCUAUGCAUUAUGAAAAUGACACCUUUGUGAUUUGUUAAUGGAAUGCGGGAUAGUAUAUCUGUUUAGUUUAAGAUAUUUAGUGUUUUCGUGGAUGUAUAUUGACCACAUAUUCGGUUAAUAUUUCUUAAUUUGGGUGCACGGUGAAUCAGACCAUAUAGGCUCAGUUGGAUCUGUUGAGAUAAGGUUGCGUUCUUUUGGUGAGUUUGAAGAAAGAUUUUUCGCGCACGUAAAGCAAGAAAGCUCAUUAGCACAUAAUUAAUUAAGAAUUAACUAUUAUAAACUUUAAAAUAGAUUUAUUUGAUUUUUCAAAUAUCUUCUAUAUAAUUUUUUUAAAAAAAACUCGCCAUUUAGUAGUUUGAAUUGUGUGCUAACGGAAAACAUUGAAGUUAAAGUUUGGAGUCGAAGACAAACAUAUCAAUAAGAUGUGCUUGUGCUGGCUGGUUAAUCGAACAGCUCCAUCAACGCUGUGGGGCUUGGAAGAGGUUAAAGGUAUGGCUGGGUAUACGAUACAAUGGUUUCAUUUCCUGUUUUAGGUAAAUGUGGAAACUCUUCAAAUGAAUGUGAAUAUCCUCGACAUAUAACAGUGCUUCUUGUCCUGCCACCUAAUAAUGUAAUUCUUGUAGACUACUUGCAUAGAUCUGCUACUAACACACACAGCCAGGUUGCAACUAUCAUUGAUUCAUAGAAGAAUGGUAUAGCAUAUCCAAUGUAACACUGGAAUCCAUCUUGUACGUGCUGUUAAGAAAGACAUUAAGUGCUUCAUAGGUGAUACAGCUAUACAGUUGGAGAUGUAAGUUUUGCAUGAUCUUUUUUAUUUCUGUUCAUCUGUUUACUGGCAGUUGUGAUCAUGUUCCUUUUUAUCAUGACCUUGUUUAUUAUUUUUCAUGGAGGAACAAAUGGAUUUUGUCAUCAUCAAGGUAGAGAAGAGGGACAUGAUGACAUUGCAGCGCAAGAAAGCAUAGGCACCACCGCACCAAGCAGACACAAUAAUCAGACUUUAAUUCAUAUUAAUGAAUGAAUACUAAUUCAUAUUUUUGUAUUUGUAUGCCUUGAUGACCUGCUCUACAGAGAUGGGAUUGCAUGGUCUAUUCAAUUUAUUUAUAAUUAAAUAUGCUUAUUUUUCUUCA